AGCAGCCGCGGUAAUUCCAGCUCCAAUAGCGUAUAUUAAAGUUGUUGCAGUUAAAAAGCUCGUAGUUGAAUUUCGGGAUCAGUAUGUUGGUCGUGCUUCGGUACGUACUGUCAUUACUGGUUUCUACCUUCUGAAGAACCAUGAUGUCAUUAAUUUGGUGUCAUGGGGAAUCAGGACUGUUACUUUGAAAAAAUUAGAGUGUUUAAAGCAGGCUCGCGCUUGAAUACAUUAGCAUGGAAUAAUGAAAUAGGACGUUUGAUUCUAUUUUGUUGGUUUCUAGGAUCGGCGUAAUGAUUAAUAGGGAUAGUUGGGGGCAUUAGUAUUCAAUUGUCAGAGGUGAAAUUCUUGGAUUUAUUGAAGACUAACUACUGCGAAAGCAUUUGCCAAGGAUGUUUUCAUUAAUCAAGAACGAAAGUUAGGGGAUCGAAGACGAUCAAAUACCGUCGUAGUCUUAACCAUAAACUAUGCCGACUAGGGAUCGGAUGAUGUUAUUUUUAAUGACUCAUUCGGCGCCUUAAC
rnacentral:sRNA from 1 species